rnacentral:rRNA from 1 species
CGAACGGGAUGCUUAGGCAUCUAGUGGCGGACGGGUGAGUAACGCGUGAGAAUCUGGCUCCAGGUCGGGGAUAACAGUUGGAAACGACUGCUAAUACCGGAUGUGCCGAGAGGUGAAAGAUUUAUUGCCUGGAGAUGAGCUCGCGUCUGAUUAGCUAGUUGGUGGUGUAAGGGACCACCAAGGCGUCGAUCAGUAGCUGGUCUGAGAGGAUGAUCAGCCACACUGGGACUGAGACACGGCCCAGACUCCUACGGGAGGCAGCAGUGGGGAAUUUUCCGCAAUGGGCGAAAGCCUGACGGAGCAAUACCGCGUGAGGGAGGAAGGCUCUUGGGUCGUAAACCUCUUUUCUCAAGGAAGAAGAAAGUGACGGUACUUGAGGAAUAAGCAUCGGCUAACUCCGUGCCAGCAGCCGCGGUAAUACGGAGGAUGCAAGCGUUAUCCGGAAUGAUUGGGCGUAAAGGGUCUGCAGGUGGAACUGAAAGUCUGCUGUUAAAGAGUUUGGCUUAACCAAAUAAAAGCGGUGGAAACUACAGAACUAGAGUGUGGUAGGGGCAAAAGGAAUUCCUGGUGUAGCGGUGAAAUGCGUAGAUAUCAGGAAGAACACCGGUGGCGAAAGCGUUUUGCUAGACCAUAACUGACACUGAGGGACGAAAGCUAGGGGAGCGAAUGGGAUUAGAUACCCCAGUAGUCCUAGCCGUAAACGAUGGAUACUAGGCGUGGCUUGUAUCGACCCGAGCCGUGCCGGAGCUAACGCGUUAAGUAUCCCGCCUGGGGAGUACGCACGCAAGUGUGAAACUCAAAGGAAUUGACGGGGGCCCGCACAAGCGGUGGAGUAUGUGGUUUAAUUCGAUGCAACGCGAAGAACCUUACCAAGACUUGACAUCCUGCGAAUCCUGGUGAAAGCUGGGAGUGCCUUAGGGAGCGCAGAGACAGGUGGUGCAUGGCUGUCGUCAGCUCGUGUCGUGAGAUGUUGGGUUAAGUCCCGCAACGAGCGCAACCCUCGUUUUUAGUUGCCAGCAUUAAGUUGGGCACUCUAGAGAGACUGCCGGUGACAAACCGGAGGAAGGUGAGGAUGACGUCAAGUCAGCAUGCCCCUUACGUCUUGGGCUGCACACGUACUACAAUGCUACGGACAGAGGGCAGCGAGCCAGGGAUGGCAAGCGAAUCCAGAAACCGUAGCUCAGUUCAGAUCGAAGGCUGCAACUCGCCUUCGUGAAGGAGGAAUCGCUAGUAAUUGCAGGUCAGCAUACUGCAGUGAAUUCGUUCCCGGGCCUUGUACACACCGCCCGUCACACCAUGGAAGUUGGUCACGCCCGAAGUCAUUACCCCAACCGAAAGGAGGGGGAUGCCUAAGGUAGGACUGGUGACUGGGGUGAAGUCGUAACAAGGUAGCCGUACCGGAAGGUGUGGCUGGAUCACCUCCUUU